rnacentral:tRNA from 1 species
GCGGGAUUAGUUGAUCGGUUUAACGCAACCUUCCCAAGGUUGAAAGACGGGUUCGACUCCCGUAUCCCGCU